rnacentral:rRNA from 1 species
CGUGUAGGCGGGUUAAUAAGUUUGAAGUGAAAUCCUAUGGCUCAACCAUAGAACUGCUUUGAAAACUGUUGACCUAGAAUAUGGGAGAGGUAGAUGGAAUUUCUGGUGUAGGGGUAAAAUCCGUAGAGAUCAGAAGGAAUACCGAUUGCGAAGGCGAUCUACUGGAACAUUAUUGACGCUGAGACGCGAAAGCGUGGGGAGCAAACA